GUGAAAUUGUUGAAAGGGAAACGAUUGAAGCCAGUCGUACCUAUGGGUAAUCAGCCUUUUGGGUGUGAUUCUGUGGAACGUGAAGAGUUAAACGCCUUCAUGCCUGCAUAUUCGUGCACUUUGGGUGUACUUGCCCGUAUGGUUGGUUAACGUCAAUUUCGGUCGUUAUAAAACGACUGGAGGAAUGUAGCUUCGACCUCGGUUGAAGUGUUAUAGCCUUUGGUAGAUGUAAUGAUUGGGAUUGAGGAUUGCAACGGAUAUCCUCUGGGCUAUUCGUCUGAUCUCUGGAAGUUACUUUGGUGUCGAAAGCGUGCUUACGGCAUUAAGGUUGACGGCCAAUAGGUUAGAACGUGAUUAAAUUCGUUAAGGAUGUUGACGUAAUGGCUUUAAACGAC
rnacentral:rRNA from 1 species